GCCUCUGUAGCACAACUGAUAGUGCACUUGCCUUGUAAGCAAGGGGUUGCAGGUUUGAAUCCUGUCAGAGGCU
rnacentral:tRNA from 1 species